GUUGACGGUCAAAGCGGAGGGGCAACACCCGUUCUCAUCCCGAACACGGAAGUAAAGUCCUCCAGCGAUCCGGCCGGUACUGCAUAAUAUGUGGGAAACCCGGGACGCUGUCAACC
rnacentral:rRNA from 1 species